GUUGAACGCUGGCGGCAGGCUUAACACAUGCAAGUCGAACGAGUGGCGGACGGGUGAGUAAUGCUUGGGAAUCUAGCUUAUGGAGGGGGAUAACUACGGGAAACUGUAGCUAAUACCGCGUACCAUAGGGUGAGCCCAAGGGGGAUUAGGUAGUUGGGUAGGUAAAGGCUCACCAAGCCGACGAUCGCUAGCUGGUCUGAGAGGAUGACGAGCCACACUGGGACUGAGACAAGGCCCAGACGCCUACGGGAGGCAGCAGUGGGGUAUAUGGCGCAAUGGGGGCAACCUGAAGCAGCCAUGCCGCGUGAAUGAAGAAGGCCUUCGGGUUGUAAAGUUCUUUCGGUUGCGAGGCGUUAACUACAGAAGAAGCACCGGCUAACUCCGUGCCAGCAGCCGCGGUAAUUC
rnacentral:rRNA from 1 species